rnacentral:tRNA from 1 species
GGGGGUUUAGCUCAGCUGGGAGAGCGCGGGCUUUGCAAGCCUGAGGUCAGGGGUUCGAGCCCCCUAACCUCCA